ensembl:lncRNA
CAGAGGGGUCCAGGUUACCCGGAGCAUCGUGGACUCGGCAGUUAAACUACGGGCUUGGAAAAGGAACGAAGGCACACCUUUUCUGGAUGCCUUCCAGUAUCAUCCUAUGUCUCUUCUGCAUCAUAUGGUAUCAAGAAACAUGUGAGAUAGUCCUAAGAAUUCAACCCAGGACCUCACCAUGCUAGCAGACAUCUGACUCCCUGGCAUGAUCAUCACACUCACGGUCAGAACGGCAGCACACACUCUGGCACUGAUGCCGGGAACUGUGAGUCACUGCUCCGGGUUCUUCCUGGUGUGGAAGUGAGUCUCCGAAGAGGGAGAAAGAGCAGUCUGUCAGAUACUUCAUGCACUAUAUCCCAUGGAAUUAUUUAAGAUGAGUAAAACUCUUUUGAGAAAUUAUUUUCUUUGUUCAAAGACUCAUACGUGGAUCCUUCCUGAAAAAUAUGUGAUUAGUCUUUUUAUCUAAAAGACCAUGGAAUUCUUCAUUUUCUCAGUUUUUUUUUUCCUACCUCCUCUUUCUUCAUCCGUUAUUUUCAACGAUAAAAAUGUAAACUUUGUUACAAGGUCAUUUGGAACUGGGAGCUUUUAGAAAAACAUUGAAUGAAAUAAAACAUAGUCAGUGACUAUAUGACUUUA